rnacentral:lncRNA from 1 species
CCUUCUUCCUCAUUUUCGUCGCCAAUCUUAUUCCCUCACCAAAAAACACGCACAAACACACACUGAGAAGGGUUUUGCUUUCUGUAAGUUCUGACAGUUAAUGAAAAUGGCGAAUUCGCUGCAAGCAUCGACUCGGCCGUGAAUUCUGGAAGUCGUACCUCUUGCGGUCGUUAUUCUCGUUGUUGCCCAUGUCCUUGCUUUGGUUAGAACCCACCUCAAAUUCAAAUCUUUUUUUAUCUAGCAAAAUGAUUCAUUAAAUUGAAGUCUCCAUUUUAUGUGUUUAUCUGUGUGCGUACAGGUUUACUGGAUUUACAAGCUAGCAACUGAGAAGCAGCCAACGAGAAGGAAAACGCACUAACCGAGUUCAUCAUUUUUUAGUAAUAAAAAGGUAAAAAUCCUAGAUUAAUUAAUUUUACUUUUUGAUUGCUACCCUCUGAUUUUCAAUUUUCUCAAUUAAUGUGAAUUAUGAAACUUUAGCUAUAUAUGCCUACCUUGAAUUUAAAUAUUACUGUUAAUUGGUUUGCCCUUUUACUUGCUUCUUGUUUGUUUGUGCUCUA